CCCGAAUAGAAAACGCUCUAUAGCCCGCAGACUUUUUUUGGGCUCUGGGAAUCACUAAUAAGCCGGAGUUCUUUGUGUCAUGUCAAGUGUCAUGCUAAUCAAUUUUGCACGGCGCCACAUGAUCGCUCGCUUGCCGCGUCUCACUAAAAGUGUUCUUUAGAAAAACACACAGUCCUGCCUGACCAACCUGCGGACAACAGACCUGCUUUGGCUACUUUUUUUUGACUGUGUGCUAUCAUGUCCUCCAAAAUUCAGUGCGGAGCUCUUGUCCUCGUUUUGGGAUCGUGCAUUUUGACGCACGUCGCCCCGACUGACUCCACAAACGCCUUCUGCAAGAUUGUGUGGCUGCUUGCGGUGCCGUGCAGUCAGGCUAACAUGGCCGUUGUGACUCAGAUUGAAGCCAUGGGCUCCUACGAGCUGGGCCCGGUCACUAAUCCACGCCAACCACACCUCAGCUGUUGGUCAGGUGGGGAGCGUUAAUUUCACAUUAUCUUCCACAGCCGUGGGCCUCGGCUGCCGCGUAGAUGGUGCAUCCAUGUCGGCCUUCUGGUCCAGCCUGUUUGAUAACGGCACUAACUACUGUAAUCUUCGCAACAUCAUACAAGGUGAUGUCUUUCUAAAACCCCACGCAAGGACCCACCUGAAGCAUUAACUCACCUGAAGAUGGCUUUCCUUCUCCACGUUCUCCCCGUUCACCUCCACGACUCGAUCCCCGGGUUUCAGCCCGGCCAGCUCGGCUGAGGAACCGGCCUCUACUUUCCGGAUGAACUGUCCACCUUUGUUCUUCUCGCCGUGAAGAUGGAAUCCAUACCCUCGUUCUGUUUUGACCAGGAGAGUUCUGGUGAGCGGAGGGGCAGCUGUGCUGGUUCAGACACACGGAGCACAGAGGGUUAGUUGGAAGGCACACCUGCUGUCCAAAGCCCACCAAAAGCCAAUUGAUCUCACUCCACAGCUCCCUGCAACAGGAAGCAUCAGAACAAGACACCUGGUCCCAGGCAAUGUCCAUAGCCAGGUGAGCCAUCUUGGGUCCAACCCCUGGGAGACAUACAAGCCCCUCAACGCUGUCCGGGAUGUCCCCUCCAAAGUCCUUCACAAGCAUGGCUGCUGUCAGCUUCAGAAACUUGACUUUGUUCUACAGAGUGAUGGUGCGACAAAAGAAUGCGAGUAGGGGGAAGCAUGAUUUCGAAACAAUAACUUUUAAAGUGUAAUUUGUGGUAUUACCCUCCAG